rnacentral:piRNA from 1 species
UAGGCUCUUAUUGAAGGUGUUCUGUGUGU